rnacentral:rRNA from 1 species
UAAUACGUAGGGGGCAAGCGUUGUCCGGAUUUAUUGGGCGUAAAGAGCGUGUAGGCGGUUAGGUAGGUCCGUUGUGAAAACUCGAGGCUCAACCUCGAGACGCCGAUGGAAACCAUCUGACUAGAGUCCGGAAGAGGAGAGUGGAAUUCCUGGUGUAGCGGUGAAAUGCGCAGAUAUCAGGAAGAACACCCGUGGCUAAGGCGGCUCUCUAGUACGUGACUGACGCUGAGACGCGAAAGCGUGGGGAGCGAACAGGAUUAGAUACCCUGGUAGUCCACGCCGUAAACGAUGGGUGC